rnacentral:misc_RNA from 1 species
GAUGAAGAACGUAGCGAAAUGCGAUAAGUAGUGUGAAUUGCAGAAUUCAGUGAAUCAUCGAAUCUUUGAACGCACAUUGCGCCCUUUGGUAUUCCAAAGGGCAUGCCUGUUCGAGCGUCAUAUGUACCCUCAAGCUUUGCUUGGUGUUGGGCGUCUUGUCUCUAGCUUUGCUGGAGACUCGCCUUAAAGUAAUUGGCAGCCGGCCUACUGGUUUCGGAGCGCAGCACAAGUCGCACUCUCUAUCAGCAAAGGUCUAGCAUCCAUUAAGCCUUUUUUUCAACUUUUGACCUCGGAUCAGGUAGGGAUACCCGCUGAACUUAAGCAUAUCAAUAAGCGGAGGA